rnacentral:misc_RNA from 1 species
CAGAGUUCAUGCCCUUACGGGUAGAUCUCCCACCCUUGAAUACUAUACCUUUGUUGCUUUGGCGGGCCGCCUCGGCUACCGGCUUCGGCUGGUAAGUGCCCGCCAGAGGACCCCUAAACUCUGAAUGUUAAUGUCGUCUGAGUACUAUAUAAUAGUUA